UGAAUACGAGACGCUAAGGCGUCGAAGUAGUGUAUGUCAUACUUCCAAGAGAAGCUUGCACUGUCAUAGAUAAAAAACGCCUGUACCAUAACCGACACAGGUGGGUAGGUAGAGUAUACUAAGGGGCGCGAGAUAACUCUCUCUAAGGAACUCGGCAAAAUAACUCCGUAACUUCGGGAGAAGGAGUGCCUUAUUCGUAAGGUUGCAAUAACAAGAUCCAAGCAACUGUUUAUCAAAAACACAGGUCUCCGCUAAGUCGUAAGACGAUGUAUGGGGGCUGACGCCUGCCCAGUGCCAGAAGGUUAAAGAAGUUGGUUAGCAAUUGCGAAGCUGAUAACUGAAGCCCUGGUGAACGGCGGCCGUAACGAUAACGGUCCUAAGGUAGCGAAAUUCCUUGUCGGGUAAGUUCCGACCCGCACGAAAGGCGUAAUGAUUUGGAUACUGUCUCGGAGAGGGGCUCGGUGAAAUAGACUUGUCUGUGAAGAUGCGGACUACCUGCACCAGGACAGAAAGACCCUAUGAAGCUUUACUGUAACUUGAAAUUGAAAUUGGACUUUAUUCGCGCAGUAUAGGUGGGAGGCGUUGAUUAUAAUCUUGUGGGAUUAUUGGAACCAUCAGUGAGAUACCACUCUUGUAAUGUUAGAUUUCUAACUUUGAAUCAUUAUCUGGUCAAAGAACAGUUUCAGGCGGGCAGUUUGACUGGGGCGGUCGCCUCCUAAACGGUAACGGAGGCGUACAAAGGUUUCCUCUGAACGGUUAGAAAUCGUAUCUAGAGUGUAAAGGCAUAAGGAAGCUUGACUGUGAGCCCUACAAGUCGAGCAGGGACGAAAGUCGGUCUUAGUGAUCUGACGGUACUGAGUGGAAAGGCCGUCACUCAACGGAUAAAAGUUACUCUAAGGAUAACAGGCUGAUCUCCCCCAAGAGUUCACAUCGACGGGGAGGUUUGGCACCUCGAUGUCGGCUCAUCGCAUCCUGGGGCGGUAGUACGUCCCAAGGGUUGGGCUGUUCGCCCAUGAAAGCGGUACGCGAGCUGGGUUCAGAACGUCGUGAGACAGUUCGGUCCAUAUCCGGUGUAGGCGUUAGAAUAUUGAGAGGAGCCUUCUUUAGUACGAGAGGACCGAGAAGGACAUACCUCUGGUGUACCAGUUAUCGUGCCAACGGUAAACGCUGGGUAGCUAUGUAUGGAGUGGAUAACCGCUGAAAGCAUCUAAGUGGGAAGCCCACCUCAAGAUAAGUAUUCUCAUCAC
rnacentral:rRNA from 1 species